GACGAACGCUGGCGGCGUGCUUAACACAUGCAAGUCGAACGGAGAAGCUCCAGCUUGCUGGAGUGGAUCAGUGGCGAACGGGUGAGUAACACGUGAGCAACCUGCCCCUGACUCUGGAAUAAGCGCUGGAAACGGCGUCUAAUACUGGAUACGAGAAGUGUCCGCAUGGGCACUUUCUGUAAAGUUUGUCGGUUGGGGAUGGGCUCGCUGCCUAUCAGCUUGUUGGUGAGGUAAUGGCUCACCAAGGCGACGACGGGUAGCCGGCCUGAGAGGGCGACCGGCCACACUGGGACUGAGACACGGCCCAGAAUCCUACGGGAGGCAGCAGUGGGGAAUAUUGCACAAUGGGGGAAAGCCUGAUGCAGCGACGCCGCGUGAGGGAUGACGGCCUUCGGGUUGUAAACAUCUUUCAGCAGGGAAGAAGCGAAAGUGACGGUACCUGAAGAAGAAGCACCGGCUAACUACGUG
rnacentral:rRNA from 1 species